UUAUGUAAUUCUGUCAGGUACAAUGUGUUUUUGUUUAGAUGGGUGUGGUUAGAAAGUCUGAAAUUUGUGAGUAGGAUACAAGUUUUCCCUUUGUCGUCUCUAUGUCUAUUUGUACAAUCUUCAUAAGUUCAUUUAUGAUGAUUUCAAAUGUAUGUAAUGGCCUUUUUUCACUUCCUCAAGGACUUAGCCCUGACAACUUUAAAACACGCCCAUCUAGAUUGUACCGAUUACUAUGAGUCAGAUAGAAUAUAGCAUCUUGAUUUUGCCUUUUCAAUAUGAUUUCCCGAAUCAGUGAUAUUUUAUACCGUUUAUAAUCUUAUAGGUGCCAAUCCAAGUGAAUAAAUGCUUGGUGUAUACAGACGGUAGGAGGGUUAUUGGAACCGAAAAGAUGUCACUGCAUAGCUCCUCAUCAGAUGGCUUAUUUCCAGAGUUGGACAGACCUAGUGGCCUACGGUCCAUUGAAACGAAGGAGUUAAUCUUGUGUGCAAAAUGCUAAUAGCUGCAGAUGAGGAACGUUACAAGGACGUAGCUCUGUGGAGGGACAUGCUCUCUCAACUUCGCUUAAAGAGGAACUUGACAUAGGUCAUGAUAAUGUCAUCUCUCUUUGGUACUACAGGAGGAUAACUUGUAUAUAAACUGCAUGUUUGGUAUACAAGACUCGACGACACCAUUAACGAAGAAAAAAGUUGAAAUCUUGUGGUUGUCUUCUGCAGUACAUUGUACCGAACAUGGCUAGAAAUCAUUUCUCUGACUUUUACAGUAAAUAUUAGUCUCUUUCCUUCAUAUUUAUGUAUAGUGCUCGUUGAUAUGUGUAUAUAAUACGUAUUG